GCCUUCCUCCUCAGGUCCCAAGUCACGCGCCUCAAAUCCUAUCCUUGCCCAAUGACCCAGCCAGGCCCCUCAAGCCUGAGUUGUGUCCCCACAUCGCCUACAUAAGGCCACGUCCCCUGGCCGUAGCCACACCCCUUUUAAACAGUGCUCCAGAGGCGUGUCCGCCCGCACCCGCCGGUUACGCCCCAUCAUGGAGACCACGCCCCCAGUAGGCCUGCUCUCUCUUGGUUGGCUCCCUCCCGCGGACCUGCCCCACCCUCCUCUCUGGUCUGUUGUGGCCCAGCUGACCAGGCCAGCCAGGUGCUUUCCAGCUCCUCCACGGAAACACAUCUGUGAACUAUUAUGCUUGAAGGAUCAAGGUCAUCAAUUUUCCAUACUUCUGAAAAGAAAAAGGAGAACAAACCUAGUGAAUCUGGACAUAUAAGCUACAGAAAGAGUGGUACUUAAAUAUCUUAUUUGUGAGGCCAACUCUGGCUUUGG